AGAGUUUGAUCAUGGCUCAGAACGUACGCUGGCGGCACGCCUUAUACAUGCAAGUCGAACGAAGUAGCAAUACUUAGUGGCAGACGGGUGAGUAACAUGUGGGUAUCUUCCCUUUGGUGAGGAAUAACACGAGGAAACUUGUGCUAAUACCUCAUAAGUCUUUACGGAGAAAGCUUUAUGCGCCAAUGGAUGAGCCCGCACUUGAUUAGUUAGUUGGCAGGGUAAUGGCCUACCAAGACUUUGAUCAAUAGCUGAUUUGAGAGGAUGAUCAGCCACAUUGGGACUGAGACACGGCCCAAACUUCUACGGGAGGCAGCAGUAGGGAAUCUUGCACAAUGGAGGAAACUCUGAUGCAGCGAUGCCGCGUGAGUGAAGAAGGCCUUUGGGUUGUAAAGCUCUUUCGUCGGGGAAGAAAAUGACUGUACCCGAAUAAGAAGGUCUGGCUAACUUCGUGCCAGCCGCCGCGGU
rnacentral:rRNA from 1 species